AAUAUUCCCGUACUUGGUGUUACUGCGAAGGGGGGACGGAGAAGGCUAUGUUGGCCGGGCGACGGUAGUCCCGGUUUAAGCGUGUAGGUGUGUGUUCCAGGUAAAUCCGGUUCACUUUAACACUGAGGCGUGAUGACGAGGCACCACGGUGCUGAAGCAACAAAUGCCCUGCUUCCAGGAAAAGCCUCUAAGCAUCAGGUAACAUCAAAUCGUACCCCAAACCGACACAGGUGGUCAGGUAGAGAAUACCAAGGCGCUUGAGAGAACUCGGGUGAAGGAACUAGGCAAAAUGGUGCCGUAACUUCGGGAGAAGGCACGCUGACACGUAGGUGAAGUGAUUUACUCAUGGAGCUGAAGUCAGUCGAAGAUACCAGCUGGCUGCAACUGUUUAUUAAAAACACAGCACUGUGCAAACACGAAAGUGGACGUAUACGGUGUGACGCCUGCCCGGUGCCGGAAGGUUAAUUGAUGGGGUCAGCGCAAGCGAAGCUCCUGAUCGAAGCCCCGGUAAACGGCGGCCGUAACUAUAACGGUCCUAAGGUAGCGAAAUUCCUUGUCGGGUAAGUUCCGACCUGCACGAAUGGCGUAAUGAUGGCCAGGCUGUCUCCACCCGAGACUCAGUGAAAUUGAACUCGCUGUGAAGAUGCAGUGUACCCGCGGCAAGACGGAAAGACCCCGUGAACCUUUACUAUAGCUUGACACUGAACAUUGAGCCUUGAUGUGUAGGAUAGGUGGGAGGCUUUGAAGCGUGGACGCCAGUCUGCGUGGAGCCGACCUUGAAAUACCACCCUUUAAUGUUUGAUGUUCUAACGUGGACCCGUAAUCCGGGUUGCGGACAGUGUCUGGUGGGUAGUUUGACUGGGGCGGUCUCCUCCUAAAGAGUAACGGAGGAGCACGAAGGUUGGCUAAUCCUGGUCGGACAUCAGGAGGUUAGUGCAAUGGCAUAAGCCAGCUUGACUGCGAGCGUGACGGCGCGAGCAGGUGCGAAAGCAGGUCAUAGUGAUCCGGUGGUUCUGAAUGGAAGGGCCAUCGCUCAACGGAUAAAAGGUACUCCGGGGAUAACAGGCUGAUACCGCCCAAGAGUUCAUAUCGACGGCGGUGUUUGGCACCUCGAUGUCGGCUCAUCACAUCCUGGGGCUGAAGUAGGUCCCAAGGGUAUGGCUGUUCGCCAUUUAAAGUGGUACGCGAGCUGGGUUUAGAACGUCGUGAGACAGUUCGGUCCCUA
rnacentral:rRNA from 1 species